GGGACGGACGGACGGAGGGAGCCAGCUGCGGGGCCGGUGCCGAGGGAGCGGCGGAGCCCUCGAACCCCUCAGUCCCCCCUCGGUGCCCUCCCUGCGCCCCCCGGGCCAGCAGCCGCGAUGCCCAACUUCUCCGGGAACUGGAAGAUGAAGAGCUCGGAGAACUUCGAGGAGCUGCUGAAGGCGCUGGGCGUGAACGUGAUGCUGAGGAAGAUCGCGGUGGCGGCGGCGGCCAAGCCGGCGGUGGAGAUCCGGCAGGACGGGGAGAGCUUCUACAUCCGCACCUCGACCCCCGUGCGCACCACCGAGAUCCGCUUCAGGGUGGGAGAGGAGUUCGAGGAGCAGACGGUGGAUGGGCGGCCCUGCAAGCGCUGCCCCCUGUGCCCCCCAGAGCCUGGCCAGGUGGGAGGGCGAGAGCAAGAACAAGAUGGUGUGCGAGCAGCGCCUGCUCAAGGGUGACGGGCCCAGGACGGGCUGGUCCCGGGAGAUGAGCAACGACGGGGAGCUGAUCCUGACCAUGACGGCCGACGAUGUUGUGUGCACCAGGGUCUACAUUCGGGAGUGACCCUCCCCCGUCUCAGCUGACCCCUCCCUCCCCCAUAUUCCCCCUUCCCCUGUCCCCUCAGUUCCCUGCACUCCUCCCCCUGUCACGGGGGGGGUGUUGCAUCCCCCCGCGGGGGUACAGCAGCGAACCCCCUUUUUUUGGGGACACACACACACACACACACACGGAUUUCCCUCCCCCUGCAGGGCGGGGCUCUCUGGGGGCAGCCGAAUCUCCCGUCCCGUCCUGGCCCUGCUCUGCUGCUCUCGCUCGGGGCCUGGCUCGGGGCCGGCUGCGGCGGGGGGUAACGCGGCCCCUCCCUGCC